AAGCUGUGUAAGGGAGAGAGGCUCUUGGGGUGUGUUGGAGAGCAAAGCAAGGAACUAAUUUAGCAGCUGUGUGCCUGUCUGUUGGGUCUUCAGCUGCUACUCAACAGAUAUUUGCAGGAACUUUGAAUGGUACGAGAUUUUAUGAAUUUCUUCACGCCGUAAUCCACCACUAACUUGUGAUCCCUGGAUAAGACAGUUUGACAAUUCAAGAAUAUCUGAACUUUUUGAGAAGCGGAGGAAGAGGGUUGAAACGAAAUUAUGGCUUAAGUUUUGAAGACUGCUGAUGAUGGUAACUGACUGCUAAAGGAAAUUUGAAGUAAUAUACAGGCAUGCUCUAAUCACCAAUGAAAGCCAGCUUGAGUAAAUCAUUUAGAGCUCAUGGAGGAAUGUUCUUACCCAAUUGAUGUCCCUAGGGAAGAGAAGACAGGUUCAGCCAGUCAGUUCAUCCCAGAAGUUGCUGGCUCAGCAGCAGGACGUCCCCUGGGCUGACAGCUGCUGUGUGCUGUAUCAGACACAUGGAACCAUCACAGUUCCCACAGCCCUGUAAGGAUUACAGCAGAGCCUGGCUCUGGUGUUUCUGCUCUGCUCCACCCUCUGUUUCAUCCCUCAGCGUGUGCUUAAGAUUGCAGGCUGUGGGGAAUAUAUGUAGGGAAUCAUCAUGGAAUAGAUUUUGUGCAUGUCAACUGCAUUCCAUUCAAGAAGAAGCAGCUGUACUUCACCCUAUAAUUUGCAUACUAUUAUAACUUCUGUUAAAAUGGGAGUAUAAUUUCCCAAUUUUCUAGUUUUACCUGCAGUCAUCUUCCCACAGACACAUUGUAUGCAUUCAAAAAAAGGCUCUGUAAUAAUCUUUAUAUUGUAUCAUUGCACAGGACCAUUUUAAGUCUGUAUGUAUUAAAGUAUGUGAUUGUUUAUUUGGUAAUAUUGAAGAGAGUAUAAAAAAUACCAGACCUGGAAGAAGAAAAUGAAAGAAAUUAAGUAAUUUGUUUAAAUGAAAACUAAAUACAUUCAAAUGUUUUUUCUCUUAUUCCGAGAAUGUAAUGACUGGUUUAUCUAACCUGCUUCUAAUGCAUGUGAUCUACUGAAAAAUUUACUAAUGGAAAGAAUGUAUGAGCAUCAGAUAGCCAGUUCACUGAUGCAUACCAUCUUAACAAUGAUUUUGGGAGCUCUUAGUGGAAAGAAAAGGAUUACAAAAACAAAAGAACAAAUCUAGGCAGAAUCACUGAAAAACUCCUGAUCAGUAUUUCUGCACCAACUUCUUCUUCCUUAAUGUGGUAAUUACUUAUGCACGGUAAACCCAUGCCUUGGAAUAAAAUAUUUGUUUGGAAUAAAAUAUAUGAAGAUGAAGUGUUACCAACCUAAUUUAUCCUUUGCUUUAAUCUUGAGUGGCAAAGCCAUGUGCUUCCCUUUGCCUGCAGCACUGUAACAUUUUAGUUGUUGUUCCAUAUCUCUGUGGUGCAUGUAAUAGAAAAACUUAAUUAAACUGCAUCUGGCUUCAGGUGGUCACACAGACUACAGCUAAGAGAUUUGGCAUUUCAGCUUAGUUAAAUGUCUCCAAGUACCAAUUUUUUCUUUAUAUUGAGAGCCAUCUAGCAUGACUGAAAAUUGCAUGAUGUGUCUUUGUACGUUAAGUAGGUAGGAUGUUCAUGUGUUGUGUGCAUCAAAUAACUUCCCUUGGCUUAAGUAAUUAAAUCAAGUUUGGAAUUCCUCAUUCAGUAUGUGACUACUCUCCUGUCAAGUAUUGUUGUAGGAAUUAACACCUUAUGUGUUUGUGGAGAAACAGUUGAGAGAGUUGUAAAUCUAAGCAGCAUGCCUGCUGUAGGAAUGUUAUCUUGUUAACCCUCUUGUGGCUGUGUGUUCAUGCCGGAGAUUGGACAUGUAAAGAAAUUUCCAUGUAUGUUUAGAAAAUGUGGUAGUAUUGAUGUAAUGCCAA